GAUGAACACUGGCGGCGUGCCUAAUACAUGCAAGUCGAGCGAACGGACGAGAAGCUUGCUUCUCUGAUGUUAGCGGCGGACGGGUGAGUAACACGUGGAUAACCUACCUAUAAGACUGGGAUAACUUCGGGAAACCGGAGCUAAUACCGGAUAAUAUUUUGAACAGCAUGGUUCAAAAGUGAAAGACGGUCUUGCUGUCACUUAUAGAUGGAUCCGCGCUGCAUUAGCUAGUUGGUAAGGUAACGGCUUACCAAGGCAACGAUGCAUAGCCGACCUGAGAGGGUGAUCGGCCACACUGGAACUGAGACCCGGUCCAGACUCCUACGGGAGGCAGCAGUAGGGAAUCUUCCGCAAUGGGCGAAAGCCUGACGGAGCAACGCCGCGUGAGUGAUGAAGGUCUUCGGAUCGUAAAACUCUGUUAUUAGGGAAGAACAUAUGUGUAAGUAACUGUGCACAUCUUGACGGUACCUAAUCAGAAAGCCACGGCUAACUACGUG
rnacentral:rRNA from 1 species